AUGCAGCACUUUGGUAUAAAGAAACUAAAUUAGCAUUAUUUGGUUGCACUUGUUUUGUCCGAUACUGUAUGUUUACAUUUGAUUUUACAAUUUUUUCAAAUUUUUCAAAUAAAUUUUUUCCGUUUAAUCGCCGCUAAUUAGAUUGGUAAUCAAGUUAAUAAAGUUUUGAAUGAGCUUUUUAAGUAUUUAGCAUAUUACUGGUUAAAAACUUAAUAUAAAAAUGGCAAUUUAUCACAGGACUAUAAAUGGGAAGAGUACAUGUAUUAUUAUUCAAAAUUUGUUUUUCCCGCGAAAAAUGCAAGAAUGUAUCAAUGAAAGUAAACUAACAAAAACAAAUGCUUGAUGAAAUCAGUCUGCUUGUUUUAAAACAAGCUGCAUUUAUAGAUCAAUGUUCUAUUCAUAAUUGUUUACAAAUCUUGUUUUGAAUAGUUAUUAUCUUUAACAAAAACUGUUUAACUUCUAAACUUAUCGUUUGCAUUAAUUCUUGUACGUUCUGAUUUUUUAAUUUUGAUAUUUUGUUUACAUAAACAAAAAAUAUUAUUCUAACCAUUUUAAUGUUGUUAUCAUUUGAUAUUUUCUUGUUAAACGAAAAUCUCAAUAUAGUGUCGAGACAGUAUUGAAUUUAAAAAUCUUGCAUUCGAAUGGAGACUAGAACGGAAACGUUUGAGGAUAUCAUUAAAGGCAGCAUUCAAUCCUUACUUUGGAAGUAUGUUUCGAACGUUUCACAAUUCUUCGUCAUUUACACGCAGAAUGACUCGCUACGCGGACUUGUAUACUUCAAGCGUUUCUAAUUUACUCCACUACAAUGAGAACUAUCACUUUUUUCCCAGAAGAAUUUUAUUACCCCACGAACAAGACUAUAACACGGUUUUUAAUUAAAAGUAUCAAGUAAUGAUUCUCGGAACUGGGCCAGGGAAAAAAUAACAAAAACUGGUUUGUGGUCAGUGACUACGAAUCCGGUUAAAGUUUAUUAAAUUUUUUUUUUUUUUUUUUUUUUUUUUUUUUUUUGCUUUUAUUAUUUUAUAAUUACUUACGAAAUAAGUAAAUUUUUAUUACUUACGAAAUAAAUAAAUUUUUAUUUCUUACGAAAUAAGUUAAUUUUUAUUACUUACGAAUUGAGUAUAUUCUUAUUACUUACGAAUUUGCAAAUUGACAUUGCGAAAAUACUUAAUAAAUGUGUUGUAAAAAUA